ACCAAUAAUGGUCACCGGGAGGAUGUUAUGUCCGGGGCCCGGGAUAAGGAUUCUAUUGUCUUGGGAACUGUAAAAGUUAGCGUAAGAGGCUAGUAAACCUAGUCCAGCUGUUGAGGCCAAUUAGAUGCCUAGUGGGUACCCUAGUGUCGUUACCGGUGGGACUUAGAUCCAGUGCCCGGAACGAUCCGUCGUCGGUGGGACUUAGAUCCAGUGCCCGAGACGGAGGACUUUACGUGGCUGAUCACCCGUAUUGUCAGAUGAGUUGAAAGGAAGUUAAUAAUUAAAUAUUCUUAUAAAUGGACUAUAUUCUGAUAAAAGAAUAGUUUGGACCCAUUGUAAUCGAAAUUUUUAUAAAAAAGGGUGGCAGUAUGUAAUUGAACUUCAAUUAAUUUGAGGGGAACCUAGAACUGAAUCUCUGUUACAAAUAUUUGAUUUAAUUCAGAUAGUAUGGCAUUGUUAAAAAUUUAGUGUUAUACUUGCUGAGCAUUGCUCACUCUUGCUAUUAUUUCUAACCCUUGCAGCUAAGGAUUAAGGUGGUCACCUGGGUAAGCUGCGCGUAAGAGUAAUGCUAGGCGAGACUGCUAGGGAGGUGGCUGCGAGACUAGUAUGGUUAGAGUUGAAUUAUUUCAAUUCAGUUGUAGAUGGUUUUUAUUUAUUGGUUAUCAGUUAUCCUUCUUACCGAAGUUUAGCUGAUAACGUAGUUUAAGUUGUAAAAAGAUUUUAUAGUUUGGGUUCUGGUUUCAAUGCUGUAACCUAUUUGCGAUCCUGUUGUUAGGGGGUCAAAGUGAUUUUGAUUUAAAUCUCUUUUAAAAAUCCAGAUUUUGAAAUAUAUGUUUUACCUUCUUCCGGAAAUACAGGUUUAAAUUGAUUUUUGUCCACGUGGCACCAGAUCCAGACCCCCGGAUCUGAGGGAUGUCACAGUUGGUAUCAGAGCUGUAGGUUAUAAGUUAUUGAAAUCAGAAUAUAGAUUGUAAUAGAAGUGUGUUUAGUGGAACCUCAUAUAGAGGUAAGUUGAGACUAUUGGAUAUAGUCUUUGUCUAUGGAACUGAGAUGGAGUUAGAAUAUUGAUUCUGAGUAAUCAUUUGGUAUAUCAUAGUUCCUAACUCUAGAACUAAUGAGUUGGAUAUCGGGAGAGACAUGAUAGCAUACCUUUAGUUUCCAAUCUUCUAGAGCUUGAGGCUGACUUUCUGAGUAAUCAGUGCCCGCUAGACUUGUGGAUUGACAUGUCUAACCUAGAAUGUUCCUUAUCAUCUCUACCAUUCCUAGAGGGUUGGAUAGAGGGUUAUCUAUUGUUGCUUAUAGAGACAUAUGGAUUUGGUAGAUGAGUAUGAGAUUGGUGAUGAGAAGUCAGGAGUGUAGUUCUCAAAUUGAGAAUUUAUGUAGAAUCCAUGUUAGAUUAUUUGAUAUAGUACCUAUUAGUAGGUUUGAGCGUCAACGCUCUACAAGGCUGAUUGUAUAAAGCUGGACAUGACUUCUGACAACACCAAGCUCGAUAGGACCUACUAACAUGGAUAUCGGUGACGGAAUCUAUAGAGACUAUUAUAAGUCAACGAUAAUAUAUGCAAGCGAUCACCAAGAGUGCUGAAAAGAAUUCUUGGAAUCAAGAUAAGCCAUCAGAGGAAUCAAGUAAGAAGACACUUGUGAGAAUCUUGGCAAUACCUUCUUCAAUUGAUUGAUUAAAUUGAUUAUUUCUCUAUCAGUGAUUGUUUUAACAUCUCUUUCAGCGAGACGUUCAUUAAAGAGAAUAUUUCUCUUUAAGAGUAUAUUUUUCACUCUUGAAAUUAUAGAAUGAUGCCAGUGCUUGUGGUAUCAUUUCUGAUCACUUUUCUUUCGAAUUCAGCACAUUUGGAAUCUAUUCCCUAUUUGAACCCCAGGUGCGCAUGAAACUUUUCUCCAAUUAAAGGCAACCAUUGUUAAGUUAAUUAUGAACCCUUUUAUAUUUUUCUACUCUAACUGAGAUGAACAACUCUAAUUAUAGAGGACACAAAGACUCCCUGUCUGUGUGAUAGGAGUUGGAUGGGACGUCAUCACUUGUGUGUUGUGCAUUACAAGAAGGCUAGUAGUAUCCUCAUUUAGAUACGCAACAUUAUAUCAGGAGGAAACGGUACUAAAGAAUAAAGAAAUAUUACGUUUUAGUCUUCUCUUCGUUGAUUCCGAGGACGGAAUCCUUUUAAGGGGGGUAGAUUGUGAUAAUCCGGAUUUUUCGAAAUAUUUUAUUUUAUGAUUUUCUAAAAGAUGAGGAAUAAAAUUUUUAUAUUUUAUUCCCAGUCCAGUGAAAUAUCGAGAAUUUUAUUAUUUGAAAUAUUAUGUGGAUAGUAUUUUCAGGUGUAGCUUGAAAAGUUUUUGCAGUUAUGUGAUUUAACUGUGGUUCAUGUUAAAUAUGCUUCUUAUUUGGUUGUUUUAUUUGUGUGAGCAGUCAGUUUAGAAUUUUGAUUUAUUAUAUCCUUUUUAAUAAAUCAAAUUUAUCCUUUGAUUUUAAAAUCAAAGUUUGUUUUAUUUGAGCCUCAUGAUUUUAUCCGAUUUAAAUUACUAAAAUAUUCAAACACUAGUAUUUUUAUAUUUCUGUCGGAUUCAGAAAUAUUUGAAAGUUGCAAAUGAUUAUUUUAAUUAUUUGUUAAUUAACAAUGAUUUUGAGCAUUAUUUGUAAAAAUAGAGAAAGGCUGUAAAAAUAUUAUUUUUACAGAUAUUGUGUAUUCGGGAUUUCUAGCUAGAAUAUCUAGAAUUUUUAUUUUAUGAUUUUGGAAAUAUUUGUGGACUCAUAUAUUUGUUUUGUUAUUAAAAUAGCGUUUUGAUUUAAUAAUUGGGGAUGUGAGUUUUAGUCAUAAAAAUGAUAUAAACAAAACAAAAAGAAAAAGAGGAGCAGGCGGUGCAAGAAGGGGGAAACUCGUGGGGAGAGAGAGCACGGGUUAGGGUUUAGGGAGUUUGGGGCGAUCAAAUCUUUCAGAUCAAACAGGUAAAUAACUUGUUGUGUAUUUAUAUACCUAUGUGUGUUAUUAUGCUAUAUUGCGUUGGUAUAAAUCAGAGGAGAAGAGUUUGGGAGAGAUUGAUCGGAGUUAUGGCAGUGUGUUGGGGGCGACGGCGGGGGCUUGUCGUCGGUGGGUUGCGGAGGUGAACAGAGUAGAAAGGAUGAGUGCUGUGAGUAGAAAGGUCAGUGGAGAGGCAGAAUUUAGGCCGAUGUUGAGUUGCUCAGUCUCUGCAGUCACGGUGAGGGGAGGCUCAGGCGCUACUGGAUAGAGUAGUGAUGGUGUAGCUGCGAGGAAAUAAGGAGAUGGGGCAGUUCGUGCUUGUGGUGUUGUAGCGAGGUGAUCGGACUUCUUGCCGGCUGUGCGAGUGAGAGUGAGAGUGAGAGAGAGAGAGAGAGAGAGAUGGCUGAGUAGGUGUAUUUUUUGUGUAUAUAUAUGUGUUUAUACCACUGUUGGCUGUGAUUGUGUUAACUGAUUUUGUUAGUUUCGAGUCUUGCGUAUGUCGGGUCUUGUUUGAUUUUGAUUGAUUAGUUUCUGCUUUGUUGCCCUUGUUUCAAGCACGGUUUAGGAUAAUUCAAAAGCAUAUCAAGUGAUGAUUUCUGCUAUGAAAAUGUUUAACUUAGAGUCUAGUUUAAGUACGAAAAAGAAUUUCAAAGUUUCGUUAAACGAGCUAAAGGAUAUGUAUGUUUUAGUGUGAGUUGAGCAGAAAAUUCUGGGCAGGUGUGUCCUAUUCUAGGCCCUGUUUUGCUACUUAAAACUUGAGCUUUGCUUCUGAAAUUUUUACUGGAGUUAGAUGUUAGUAUCUGGAAUAUGUCAUUAAAAUUUUAUACAGACAGACCAAAUUUUCUAUUUAUUAAAAUUCAUAGCGUGGGGCUGAUUCUGCAGGACAGAUUCAGGUUCCUGACUUGCAGGUCCUGUUUUACUCCCUUAAACAUGGAAUUUGGUUCUGAAAUUUUUAUGGUAGAUUGGAAUAAUGUUUAGGAGUGUCUCAUAAAAAUUUCGUAUUAAAAUGAUAAAUUCUCAAUUUAUUAAAAAUCUUAGAGUGAGGGCUGUUUGAACUAUUUGCUCUAGUCUUCUUUCUCUGUUAGUGCAUUGUAUGGGGUUAUACUUGGAUAAUUGUAUAUGAUCGAUUAUUAAAUGGAUUGGCUCGGUUAACCUUGUAUAUCUAAUUAAACGUGUUUUGCGUAUAACAAAUUAGCAAUCUUGCUAAAAGAUUUCAUUAUAUGCUUAAUGCAAGUCAAGGCAGAUUUUCUUAUGUGUUUACUGCAAGUCAAGGCAGAUUUUCAUAGUAAUAAUUCAUGUGUUAGCAAUAGUAUUGACUGGUUGUUGGUAUUGCAAACAGGUGGAUAAGACUAUAAACAGAGGAGAUUCUGCCGAAUUUUCGUUAGAAAUUAUAUGUAUUUUAGUAGCUAUAAAAAGGGUUAUUUGUGCAAUUAUGUGCUAUGUGUUUAUCUGACUAUGUGGUAUGUGUAAGCGAAGGAUAGCUAUAUAUAGUUCCUAACGCUUUCAGAAUUAGUUAAUCCGUCUGAUCCGACGACUGAAAUACUAUUUUACUAUCGUAUAGAACUGAACGAGACGUUGAUCGAGACGUGAUUGAAAUGGGUAUUCAGAAAUAGCCAAGUGGUGUUGCAAGUUGAAUUAAGGCGAAACUUAGUUAUAAAUCAAAUCUUAUCAGAAGUUGGCAGAAGGGGAUGAUAUGGUGGUAUAUAGUGUCAUUAGAAGUCUGAGCUAGAUACCGGAGUUAAGGCAAGUACUUCUAUCUAUCUUUCCCUUGCAGCAAGUAUUUCUAUUCUCAACUUGUAAUUACUGCAAGUAAUUCUAUUCUGCAUUUAUAUUGAAAGGGCAAGCAUUGUUAUCUUUCUCGUGUGAUUAAAGAUAAGUUAAAUAUUUCUAUUGUUAUAUCUGCAGUUGACAACAUUGCUAGACAUAUAUUAUGUUCUUGAUAGCUGAGAUAGCUACUUGGUUACAUUGAGUUAUAUGGUGGUGAUUUGAAAUAAGAAAAGAAGAGUUUUUGAAUAAAUAUAUAUAUGGUUGCGAAAGAAAUAAAUACAUAUGGUGAAGGGCUAGUGAAUAGCCGGGGGCUAGUGAAUAGCCGGGGGCUAGUGAAUAGCCGGGGGCUAGUGAAUAGCCGUGGGCUAGUGAAUAGCCAAUCAGAAAGCGGAGCAAGAUGCCUAUUGUGUACACCAAUAAUUGUCAUCGGGAGGACUUUAUGUCCGGGGCCCGGGGCACCAAUAAUUGUCACCGGGAGGACUUUAUGUCCGGGGCCCGGGGCACCAAUAAUGGUCACCGGGAGGAUGUUAUGUCCGGGGCCCGGGAUAAGGAUUCUAUUGUCUUGGGAACUGUAAAAGUUAGCGUAAGAGGCUAGUAAACCUAGUCCAGCUGUUGAGGCCAAUUAGAUGCCUAGUGGGUACCCUAGUGUCGUUACCGGUGGGACUUAGAUCCAGUGCCCGGAACGAUCCGUCGUCGGUGGGACUUAGAUCCAGUGCCCGAGACGGAGGACUUUACGUGGCUGAUCACCCGUAUUGUCAGAUGAGUUGAAAGGAAGUUAAUAAUUAAAUAUUCUUAUAAAUGGACUAUAUUCUGAUAAAAGAAUAGUUUGGACCCAUUGUAAUCGAAAUUUUUAUAAAAAGGGGGGCAGUAUGUAAUUGAACUUCAAUUAAUUUGAGGGGAACCUAGAACUGAAUCUCUGUUACAAAUAUUUGAUUUAAUUCAGAUAGUAUGGCAUUGUUAAAAAUUUAGUGUUAUACUUGCUGAGCAUUGCUCACUCUUGCUAUUAUUUCUAACCCUUGCAGCUAAGGAUUAAGGUGGUCACCUGGGUAAGCUGCGCGUAAGAGUAAUGCUAGGCGAGACUGCUAGGGAGGUGGCUGCGAGACUAGUAUGGUUAGAGUUGAAUUAUUUCAAUUCAGUUGUAGAUGGUUUUUAUUUAUUGGUUAUCAGUUAUCCUUCUU
rnacentral:lncRNA from 1 species